UUUUAUUUGAGAGUUUGAUCCUGGCUCAGGAUGAACGCUGGCGGCGUGCCUAACACAUGCAAGUUGAGCGAUUUACUUCGGUAAAGAGCGGCGGACGGGUGAGUAACGCGUGGGUAACCUACCCUGUACACACGGAUAACAUACCGAAAGGUAUGCUAAUACGGGAUAAUAUAUUUGAGAGGCAUCUCUUAAAUAUCAAAGGUGAGCCAGUACAGGAUGGACCCGCGUCUGAUUAGCUAGUUGGUAAGGUAACGGCUUACCAAGGCGACGAUCAGUAGCCGACCUGAGAGGGUGAUCGGCCACAUUGGAACUGAGACACGGUCCAAACUCCUACGGGAGGCAGCAGUGGGGAAUAUUGCACAAUGGGCGAAAGUCUGAUGCAGCAACGCCGCGUGAGUGAUGAAGGCCUUCGGGUCGUAAAACUCUGUCCUCAAGGAAGAUAAUGACGGUACUUGAGGAGGAAGCCCCGGCUAACUACGUGCCAGCAGCCGCGGUAAUACGUAGGGGGCUAGCGUUAUCCGGAUUUACUGUGCUUAAAGGGUGCGUAGGCGGUCUUUCAAGUCAGGAGUGAAAGGCUACGGCUCAACCGUAGUAAGCUCUUGAAACUGGGAGACUUGAGUGCAGGAGAGGAGAGUGGAAUUCCUAGUGUAGCGGUGAAAUGCGUAGAUAUUAGGAGGAACACCAGUUGCGAAGGCGGCUCUCUGGACUGUAACUGACGCUGAGGCACGAAAGCGUGGGGAGCAAACAGGAUUAGAUACCCUGGUAGUCCACGCUGUAAACGAUGAGUACUAGGUGUCGGGGGUUACCCCC
rnacentral:rRNA from 1 species